rnacentral:lncRNA from 1 species
CCUGCUCCUCAUCCUCUGUCCUUCCUCCCCUGCCAUUUAUCGGGGGGAGCCCAGCCCUAACGAGCAUCCCUUGUCCAGGGGAAGGAGCCCCCUUGCCUUCUCUGGGCUCCCCAGGGGAUGUUUUGGGCAGGCCCACCAUACGACACAGGCUGAGUGCUGCCUUUGACAACCCUCAAGGAAAAAGCUUUCCCCAAAAAAACCAUUGAAGAGACUGUUUCAGUUUCAGCAUAUUCAAGGCACAGCCAAUUAAUCACCUUAAACACCCUCACCUCCGCCUGCUGCGCGGUGCCGGCGUGCCUCGGUUUAUCGGAUACCUGCGGCUGCCUGGCUUCAAGCUCUGGCACUGCCCUGCUCACACCAAAACGCUGUUAGGUUUGGUGACGUGCUGGUAGGAAGAAGGAAGAAACCUCCUGCAGCGGCGUCCUGCUGAGGGAGGCACCGGCUGUGGAGAAGGGCAGUUCCCGGACUCAUUUCCUCCUCACCUGCCCCGUUUUCAGGCGUCUUCUUGUAAAAAUAACGCCCCGUUAAUUCAUCUUCGCUCCCCUCUUCUAGAGGUGCGUGCUGCUGGAGUCGGGGGAGGAAGAAAGCAUCCUGCAGGCAUCCUCUCCCCGCUGAUUUUAUCAGCUUCUCGUCCUGACAGCUGCUGCGGCAUUGGGGUUGGACGCCCGAGCUCUGCAUGUUCGUUCAGGCAUCGUGGCGAGGGGCGGACAGCUUUGGAUUUGAAAUUCUGGGCAGCAGUGAAAGCAGGCUGAUGGAUAACGCUAAGGAAUAAGCAAUGCUUCGUCUCCUGCUCAAAACUCCAGAGCUCGGAGCCAUUUGUGUGCUGAGCCCACGCACGGCUUUGCAGGGAUGCCAAAGUCCUGCGGCUGCCUCCAAGCUGCCACGAGCACAAUUUGCACCUCACCUCGGGUGGCUCCAGUCCCCAGGCAGGGUGUGAAAUUUGGGGAGUGGAAAGUGCCCCAAGGAGGUGCGGGCUGGGAGUUAUCGAUGGAGAUGGCAAGGGUCUCCUUGGGCUGUGCGUGAAACGUGACCUGGUUCUGACAAA